rnacentral:miRNA from 1 species
UGAGAAAAGGAGGAUGUCA